rnacentral:rRNA from 1 species
UACAGAGACCUCAAGCGUUAUCCGGAAUCAUUGGGCGUAAAGCGUACCGACAGGUGGUUUUACAAGUCAGAAGUGAAAUCCUAAGGCUUAACCUUGGGAAUGUCUUUUGAAACUGUAAAACUUGAGGGACAAAGAGGAAGCUGGAACGAACGGUGUAGUAGUGAAAUGCGUUGAUAUCGUUCGGAACACCAAUAGCGUAGGCAAGCUUCUGGGUGUCACCUGACACUGCUAGGACGAAAGCGUGG